GCUUUUUAAGCUUAGUGGCGAACGGGUGAGUAACGCGUGAGUAACCUGCCCUAGAGUGGGGGACAACAGUUGGAAACGACUGCUAAUACCGCAUAAGCCCACGGUACCGCAUGGUACUGAGGGAAAAGGAUUUAUUCGCUUUAGGAUGGACUCGCGUCCAAUUAGCUAGUUGGUGAGGUAACGGCCCACCAAGGCGACGAUUGGUAGCCGGACUGAGAGGUUGAACGGCCACAUUGGGACUGAGACACGGCCCAGACUCCUACGGGAGGCAGCAGUGGGGGAUAUUGCACAAUGGGGGAAACCCUGAUGCAGCGACGCCGCGUGGAGGAAGAAGGUUUUCGGAUUGUAAACUCCUGUCGUUAGGGACGAUAAUGACGGUACCUAACAAGAAAGCACCGGCUAACUACGUGCCAGCAGCCGCGGUAAAACGUAGGGUGCAAGCGUUGUCCGGAAUUACUGGGUGUAAAGGGAGCGCAGGCGGGAAGACAAGUUGGAAGUGAAAACCAUGGGCUCAACCCAUGAAUUGCUUUCAAAACUGUUUUUCUUGAGUAGUGCAGAGGUAGAUGGAAUUCCCGGUGUAGCGGUGGAAUGCGUAGAUAUCGGGAGGAACACCAGUGGCGA
rnacentral:rRNA from 1 species